AUACGGAGGGUGCAAGCGUUACUCGGAAUCACUGGGCGUAAAGGACGCGUAGGCGGGCUUGUAAGUCAGGUGUGAAAUCCUACAGCUUAACUGUAGAACUGCACUUGAAACUACUAGUCUAGAGUAUGGGAGGGGGAGAUGGAAUUAGUGGUGUAGGGGUAAAAUCCGUAGAUAUCACUAGGAAUACCUAAAGCGAAGGCGAUCUCCUGGAACAUUACUGACGCUAAGGCGUGAAAGCGUGGGGAGC
rnacentral:rRNA from 1 species